rnacentral:misc_RNA from 1 species
GAUGAAGAACGUAGCGAAAUGCGAUAAGUAAUGUGAAUUGCAGAAUUCAGUGAAUCAUCGAAUCUUUGAACGCACAUUGCGCCCGCCAGUAUUCUGGCGGGCAUGCCUGUUCGAGCGUCAUUACAACCCUCAGGCCCCCGGGCCUGGCGUUGGGGAUCGGCGGAAGCCCCCUGUGGGCACACGCCGUCCCUCAAAUACAGUGGCGGUCCCGCCGCAGCUUCCAUUGCGUAGUAGCUAACACCUCGCAACUGGAGAGCGGCGCGGCCAUGCCGUAAAACAACCAACUUCUGAAUGUUGACCUCGAAUCAGGUAGGAAUACCCGCUGAACUUAAGCAUAUCAAUAAGCGGAGGA